CAGCCGCCGCGGUAAUACGAACCGUGCGAACGUUAUUCGGAAUCACUGGGCUUAAAGCGCGUGUAGGCGGGCCGCCACGUCGGCUGCUGAAAUCCCCCGGCUCAACCGGGGAACGGGCACCGAUACGAGCGGCCUGGAGGGGGGUAGGGGGGACUGGAACUUCCGGUGGAGCGGUGAAAUGCGUUGAGAUCGGAAGGAACGCCCGUGGUGAAAGCGAGUCCCUGGACCCUUUCUGACGCUGAGACGCGAAAGCCAGGGGAGCGAACGGGAUCAGAUACCCGAGUAGUCCCUGUCUCUUAUA
rnacentral:rRNA from 1 species